rnacentral:rRNA from 1 species
AAUAGAUACCCUGGUAGUCCACGCCGUAAACGAUGUCGACUUGGAGGUUGUUCCCUUGAGGAGUGGCUUCCGGAGCUAACGCGUUAAGUCGACCGCCUGGGGAGUACGGCCGCAAGGUUAAAACUCAAAUGAAUUGACGGGGGCCCGCACAAGCGGUGGAACAUGUGGUUUAAUUCGAUGCAACGCGAAGAACCUUACCUACUCUUGACAUCCAGAGAACUUAGCAGAGAUGCUUUGGUGCCUUCGGGGAACUCUGAGACAGGUGCUGCAUGGCUGUCGUCAGCUCGUGUUGUGAAAUGUUGGGUUAAGUCCCGCAACGAGCGCAACCCUUAUCCUUUGUUGCCAGCGGUCCGGCCGGGAACUCAAAGGAGACUGCCAGUGAUAAACUGGAGGAAGGUGGGGAUGACGUCAAGUCAUCAUGGCCCUUACGAGUAGGGCUACACACGUGCUACAAUGGCGUAUACAAAGAGAAGCGACCUCGCGAGAGCAAGCGGACCUCAUAAAGUACGUCGUAGUCCGGAUUGGAGU